UGGGGAAUAUUGCACAAUGGGCGAAAGCCUGAUGCAGCGACGCCGCGUGCGGGAUGAGGGCCUUCGGGUUGUAAACCGCUUUUAAUUGGGAGCAAGCGAGAGUGAGUGUACCUUUUGAAUAAGCACCGGCUAACUACGUGCCAGCAGCCGCGGUAAUACGUAGGGUGCAAGCGUUAUCCGGAAUUAUUGGGCGUAAAGAGCUCGUAGGCGGUUUGUCACGCCUGGUGUGAAAGUCCAUCGCUUAACGGUGGAUCUGCGCCGGGUACGGGCAGGCUAGAGUGCAGUAGGGGAGAUUGGAAUUCCCGGUGUAACGGUGGAAUGUGUAGAUAUCGGGAAGAACACCAAUGGCGAAGGCAGAUCUCUGGGCUGUUACUGACGCUGAGGAGCGAAAGCAUGGGGAGCGAACAGGAUUAGAUACCCUGGUAGUCCAUGCCGUAAACGGUGGAUGCUGGAUGUGGGGCCCUUCCACGGGCUCCGUGUCGGAGCUAACGCGUU
rnacentral:rRNA from 1 species